GACGAACGCUGACGGUGUGCUUUAGGCAUGCAAGUCGAACGAGAAAGCCCUUCGGGGUGAGUAAAGUGGCGAACGGGUGAGUAACACGUGGGCAACCUGCCCCUCGCAGGGGGACAACCGGAGGAAACUCCGGCUAAUACCCCGUAAGCUCCACACAUCGCAUGUUGAGUGGAGGAAAGGUAGCUUCGGCCAAACCGGCGAGGGGAUGGGGCCCGCGGUGCAUUAGCUAGUUGGUGGGUAACGGCCCACCAAGGCGA
rnacentral:rRNA from 1 species